GUUUCAUUUAAGUCUGUUUAAUAUAAAUUGUAAGAUAUCAAAAAUGGCCGCCUUAAAUGUCACAACUGACAGUUACUUCAAAAUAAAGACAUUCCAAGACUCCAAGUUAAAUCAGUGCGAAAGUAAUGUCUUGAACGACAGGUGCCGUUAACGAUAGAACCCUUUGAGGGGUUCUUUAUACCCCACAACAUUAACUCUUAUUUCAAUUCUCGUAGAUAAGACCCUGAAAUAAAACAGAGACGUACACCACCACAAAAUGAACCCGCGAUCGGAUUGCAUAACAACAAAAUUACACGGCGCAUUCCGCGCGAAAGGUCAUCUAUGAUUGGUUGUGUUUUACAACAUCAAGGAAAUCAGUUAAUGAUUUAAAAUUAUGACUUCUGCUGGGGAUUCGCGAUUUAUUAUGAUAAUCCUGGUUUAUUAGCGAAUGUUUUGUAAAACUCUGAAGGGUAGGCGUUUUAUUGCAACGAAUGCUAUUAACUUUAAUUUUAACGAAUGAACUCAGAAAGUUGAAUGAAGCUACCGGGUGAAGGAAAUAAAUGUCAGUGUAAAUACAUAUUUUUUAUAAGUUCGCGGCCUUUAGUGCGCGUCGUUUAUAAAGGUCGUGCACUGGUUACCAAAUGUCGCGCCCUUUGCAUCCCCGCGGGACCCACUGGACCAAAUGUGUUGAAUCAUAUUGAAAUUAUAAAUGUUCAUUUAUUAAAACGUUCAUGUUCAACGUAUUCAGCUCGUGUCUUAAUAGUUUAUAAUUACAGCGAUAAACAAGAAUCAUUACAUCCACUUAACUUGCAACAUUCUUUAUAAUAAAAGGAAUUUUCUAAGG